GAUGAACGCUAGCUACAGGCUUAACACAUGCAAGUCGAGGGACCGGCGCACGGGUGAGUAACACGUAUCCAACCUGCCCUUUACUCGGUGAUAGCCUUUCGAAAGAAAGAUUAAUACCCGAUAUAAAGGAUGGGAAUGCGUUCCAUUAGGUUGUUGGUUAGGUAACGGCACACCAAGCCUUCGAUGGAUAGGGGAUCUGAGAGGAAGGUACCCCAGAUUGGAACCGCGACACGGACCACACUGCGAGGGAGGGCAGGAGUGAGGAAUAUUGGUCAGUGGACGCUAGCCUGAACCACCCAAGUAGCGUGAAGGAUGAAGGCGUAGGGAUCGUAAACUUCUUUUAUAUAAGAAUCUGUAUCAUAUGAAUAAGGAUCGGCUAACUACGUGCCAGCAGCCGCGGUAAUAC
rnacentral:rRNA from 1 species